rnacentral:rRNA from 1 species
GACGAACGCUGGCGGCGUGCCUAACACAUGCAAGUCGAGCGGGGUAGCCGGAAGGUGUAGCGAUACAGCGGAGGGGUACCUAGCGGCGAACGGGUGAGUAACGCGUGGGCAAUCUGCCCCCGGGGGCGGGAUAACAGACCGAAAGGCCUGCUAAUACCGCAUGAAGCCGUCCUAUCGCAUGAUAAGACGGUAAAAGGGGAAACCCGCCUGGGGAGGAGCCCGCGUCCCAUUAGCUAGUUGGUGGUGUAAAGGACCACCAAGGCGAUGACGGGUAGCCGGCCUGAGAGGGUGACCGGCCACACUGGGACUGAGACACGGCCCAGACUCCUACGGGGGGCAGCAGUGGGGGAUCUUGCACAAUGGGCGAAAGCCUGAUGCAGCGACGCCGCGUGAGCGAAGAAGGCCUUCGGUUGUAAAGCUCUGUCUGGAGGGACGAAGGAAGUGACGGUACCUCCGGAGGAAGCCACGGCUAACUACGUG